AACGUAGGGCGCAAGCGUUGUCCGGAAUUAUUGGGCGUAAAGAGCUCGUAGGCGGUCUGUUGCGUCCGCUGUGAAAACUCGGGGCUUAACCCCGAGCCUGCAGUGGAUACGGGCAGACUAGAGGUAGGUAGGGGAGAAUGGAAUUCCCGGUGUAGCGGUGAAAUGCGCAGAUAUCGGGAGGAACACCGGUGGCGAAGGCGGUUCUCUGGGCCUUACCUGACGCUGAGGAGCGAAAGCGUGGGGAGCGAACAGG
rnacentral:rRNA from 1 species